GAGAUCGCAAGACUCCGCGAGGAGUGCG
rnacentral:sRNA from 1 species